UUUUUCGUAUGGUGAGUUAUGAGGAGUGGCAUUAGUCACAACAUCUCUAUACAGUCCAAGACAAGCGUGUAAGACUCUGUGAAAGUAAAAGCUCACUAUUUGAUCAGAGCGAAAGAAAGUAAAACGUCCAGUGCGAUUACGUUGGUCAUGCCCGACUAUAUUCAAAAAAAUUGCGACUUGUUCCUCAAUUCGAACGUAUUUCCUGUCAACCAAUCCAUAAGUUCGCAAACGAGCACAUAAUCUU
rnacentral:lncRNA from 1 species